rnacentral:misc_RNA from 1 species
AAGUCGUAACAAGGUUUCCGUAGGUGAACCUGCGGAAGGAUCAUUAUCCAUCAAAAACGUUUGUGAGGUUCCGUGGUUCCUGGGGCAUUAAGCCAAUGCAGGUCAAUGUAAUUCGGGAAGCAACGUUUCAUCCUUUUCUUUACGAGCACCUUUCGUUCUCCUUCGGCGGGGCAACCUGCCGCUGGAACUUAACAAAACCUUUUUUUGCAUCUAGCAUUACCUGUUCUGAUACAAACAAUCGUUACAACUUUCAACAAUGGAUCUCUUGGCUCUG